rnacentral:rRNA from 1 species
UACGUAGGGUGCGAGCGUUAAUCGGAAUUACUGGGCGUAAAGCGUGCGCAGGCGGCGCGUUAAGACAGGUGUGAAAGCCCCGAGCUUAACUUGGGAAUUGCGCUUGUGACUGGCGUGCUGGAGUGUGGCAGAGGGAGGUGGAAUUCCGCGUGUAGCAGUGAAAUGCGUAGAGAUGCGGAGGAACACCGAUGGCGAAGGCAACCCCCUGGGCUGACACUGACGCUCAGGCACGAAAGCGUGGGGAGCAAACAGG